GUCUACGGCCAUGCAACCCUGAAUGUGCUCGAUCUCGUCUGAUCUCGGAAGCUAAGCAGGGUCAGGCCUGAUUAGUACUUAGAUGGGAGACCACCUAGGAAGACCAGGUGCUGUAGGCG
rfam:Pteropus alecto contig24046, whole genome shotgun sequence.